AUAGCACCGACAAUUUACGCAGCGCUUUGCAUGUGUACAUUCCCAUAAGUCCCUGCUCUCAAGUAACUUACAAUCUAAGGUCUCUAUCUCAUAUACACACACAAGGG